rnacentral:rRNA from 1 species
GUGGGAAUCUGCCCUUUGGUUCGGAAUAACAGUUGGAAACGACUGCUAAUACCGGAUGAUGACGUAAGUCCAAAGAUUUAUCGCCAGAGGAUGAGCCCGCGUAGGAUUAGCUAGUUGGUGUGGUAAGAGCGCACCAAGGCGACGAUCCUUAGCUGGUCUGAGAGGAUGAUCAGCCACACUGGGACUGAGACACGGCCCAGACUCCUACGGGAGGCAGCAGUGGGGAAUAUUGGACAAUGGGCGAAAGCCUGAUCCAGCAAUGCCGCGUGAGUGAUGAAGGCCUUAGGGUUGUAAAGCUCUUUUACCCGGGAUGAUAAUGACAGUACCGGGAGAAUAAGCUCCGGCUAACUCCGUGCCAGCAGCCGCGGUAAUACGGAGGGAGCUAGCGUUGUUC